rnacentral:rRNA from 1 species
GGAAAGGCCCUUCUGGGUACUCAAGCGGUGUACCCGCGAGUAAAAAGAGAAUAANCUGUCACUGACUUCGGGAUAAGCCUGGGAAACUGGGUCUAAUACCGGAUAGGACCCUUCACUGCAUGGUGUGGGGUGGAAAGUUUUUUCUGUUGGGGGUGGACUCACGGCCUAUCAGCUUGUUGGUGGGGUGGUGGCCUACCACCGCCUCCACAGGUAGCCAGCCUGUAAGGGCGACCGGCCACACUGGGACUGAACAACGGCCCAUACUCCUACUGGAGGCAGCAGUGGG